CAGAAACCUUUUGGACAGAGAUACAUUUUCUAAAUCUGAUCCGAGUUUUAUAUAAAUGAUUCUUAAACUAGAGAGGUGGUUCCACUCCUGGAGUAUACCUCUGGAAGCACUGGGGAGCCACUGGGAGUGGAGGGGAAUAGAAGUCUACUAAUGCCUCAGCAAUGAAAAGUCUGUGUCUUGUACACACAAGCCAUUGGAAACAAAGAAUGGAGAGAGUUUGGAAGAACAGAAGUAAUUGAUAAUACUUUAAAUCCGGAUUUUGUAAGAAAAUUUAUAAUGGACUACUUCUUUGAGGAAAGAGAGAAUCUGCGAUUUGAUUUCUAUGAUGUUGACUCAAAGAGUCCUAACCUAUCAAAACACGAUUUUUUGGGACAAAUGUUUUGUACGCUGGGAGAAAUAGUUGGAUCACAGGGGAGCAGACUGGAAAAAUCAAUUGUAGGAAUUCCUGGGAAGAAAUGUGGAACAGUCAUAGUAACAGCAGAGGAACUGGGCUGUUGCCGAGAUUCAGUUUUAAUGCAAUUUUGUGCGAACAAACUAGACAAGAAGGACUUCUUCGGGAAAUCUGAUCCUUUCCUUGUAUUUCAUCGAAGCAAUGAAGAUGGCAGUUUUACAAUCUGCCACAAAACAGAAGUCAUAAAAAAUACAUUAAAUCCAGUGUGGCAGGCAUUCAAGAUUUCUGUCAGAGCACUGUGUAACGGAGACUAUGACCGGACAAUUAAAGUAGAAGUGUAUGACUGGGAUAGAGAUGGAAGCCAUGAUUUCAUCGGAGAAUUCACAACAAGUUACAGGGAGUUGUCGAGAGGACAAUCUCAGUUCAAUGUGUAUGAGGUAAUAAAUCCAAAGAAAAAAGGAAAAAAGAAAAAAUAUGUUAAUUCUGGAACAGUAACAUUGCUUUCCUUCCUAAUUGAAACAGAAGUUUCAUUCCUUGACUAUAUUAAAGGCGGAACCCAAAUCAAUUUCACAGUAGCUAUUGAUUUCACAGCUUCCAAUGGUAACCCUUCGCAGCCUACUUCACUGCACUACAUGAAUCCCUAUCAGCUGAAUGCUUAUGGCAUGGCACUGAAAGCAGUAGGUGAAAUAAUUCAGGACUACGAUAGUGAUAAAAUGUUCCCAGCUCUAGGUUUUGGAGCUAGACUGCCUCCAGAUGGAAGAGUAUCACAUGAAUUUGCACUGAAUGGAAACCCUCAAAAUCCAUACUGCCAUGGAAUUGAUGGUGUAAUGGAGGCGUAUUACAGGAGUCUAAAAUCUGUACAGCUUUAUGGACCAACAAACUUUGCCCCUGUAAUUAAUCAUGUAGCCAGAUAUGCUGCAUCAGUAAAAGAUGGGUCCCAGUAUUUUGUUCUUCUCAUUAUUACAGAUGGAGUUAUUUCCGAUAUGGCUCAGACAAAAGAAUCCAUAGUGAAUGCUUCAAAGCUUCCAAUGUCGAUAAUUAUAGUGGGGGUAGGACCAGCAGAGUUUGACGCUGGAUUGAUUGAUAACUCAGUAUGAUUACAAGCUACCAUGUGGAGCUGUGUAGCCCCUCGGGCUCUCUGUUCAAGUCACAGAACCAUAUGGGGACUCGGCAUUUAGCGAGCUCCAGAAGAUGAGUGGGAAAAAAAACCCACAGUAAAGUAAGUAUACUCAAGUAAUGUUGAAUUUCUUCCAUACAGAUAUUUAGUUGCCUUGUGAAGUGUCAGUUGACUGGAAAUAUUGAUCAUCUGUUCCUAUUCUAGUAAUAAAACACUGAGAAAAAUAAAUACAUUUGCGGAGGUGAUCUGGGUUAAACUGGGUUUCACUAAAUAACAGGAGUGAGCCUUACUGUGUUAGCAGCAUUGAGAGAAUAUUACAACAGGGGAGAAAUUACCAGGAUUAUUUACAUAUUACUUCAUGUGUUGUUCUGGAACACCAUUCUGUACUGCAAUAACUAAGCUGCUUCUGUUAUUUGGACUAAUUUAUUAAGUGUCUCCGUGUAUAUCACUGCCCUAUGAAGUGUAGACAUUCCUUGUAUAUCUAUCUAUUCCUCAGAUUAAGUCCUAUAUCCUUUUUUUCUAAUUCUAGUGCUUCUGGUUAGACAGUAUGCCUUCUUUGUACAUGAAGUAUACUUAGUACUACCACAGAUGUAUAAUGUAAAUAGUCGCUAAUGACUGUACAUUGUUAAUUCUUGUACAAAUAUUCUAAGAGUACGAAAACAAGGAAAAAAUAAACAAAAAAAGUGUUACUGGGUGUUGACUUUCUUACGCUUUUUGGCAAAUGGUAUAUUCAUGAUAAUUUUAAGUAUCAUAUUCCUUGAAGACAUUGUCCAGGUGGACGCUUACACUUCAGAUGGUUGUAUGCCUCAAGCAAUGAGAAAAGACAGUUUGUCUUCAUAAAUGCAUAUGAGGGAAAUUUGCAAACUUCAUUUUUACCCCUGAGAAUUCCAAUAUUAGUCAUAUGUUACUUACUUUUCUCUCAGCCUUCCUUUGCCUAUUCCCUUUCUCCCUGUUUGUCCAGUCCUUGAGUUUGCCCAGGCUCCCCUUAACACAGUCAGGAUAUGUAGAUCCUGUCUUCUUUUUACUUCUGCUUUUCUUAAGGCAGAAUUCUGUUUGUGCUGUAGGAUACAGUUUUCAUCUUGAACCCACGCUCCUUGAGUAUGCUGCCUCAGUGAAACUCACCUCUUAGAUGUGUGCCAAAUCUGUAGUCUCUCACUGCCCAAGAGGCAGAGAAAUUACUUUUCCAUCUGCAGAAAUUUCUUCUCAAAAAAACAACGGUCUCCAUGCCUGUUGUGGACGCCGAAGAAGUGUGUGUGUAGGAGGGUGUAUGUUCCAGGCACGCUGUCUUACAAUUCAAAUGCCAGUCAAGCCUCAGUUCUGCUGUAGAGAGACUAAGCUGUUCCUCUUCACUUAUCACUUCCCCUAAAUCUCCCAGCCCCUGGGGACUAUCAGAAGGGUUCUUAAAAGUCUGGAGCUCAGACAGAUGGUAUAUACAUUUGGCAGAGCUUUACUUAACGAUGUGAGGAUGACUAUAACAGAUAGGGUCCAUUUUGCCCAGUAUUCUGCAUCUGACAUGGCCAUGGGUGGUUAUCUAGAGAAUGCUAAGAACAGAACAAGCGAAUAUGAUACUUCCCUGAAUACUAUUUUCGAUUAUAAUUUCCUGAGCGGUCUGUGCUUUAUGUCUAUUUUGGAAAUUUUCAGUGGAUCUCUCCUUCAAAUACUUGUUCAGUCUCCUGGUUUGAACACAUACAUUUUUUUGCACCAACAACGUCAUCUAGCAGCAUGCUCUACAGACCUACUAAUUUUUUCUUCGAACAAACAUGCUCUUUUGUUUGGCUUGGACUAGGCUCUGAUAGAGUCAUUUGUGCUUUCUAGUUCUUGCAUUGGAAGAACUAGGUUUUGAAAUGCUGGGUUCAGUCAACUCAGCCCAGUUUGCAAACCCCUGAGAAGCUCAGUGAUGCAGGGCUUUGAUUUUCAUAGUGUAUGCUGCAAGGAUUGUAGGAUUGCAGAUCCAACGGCUGAGCAAUAAUCUGUGAUCCCAAGUCCACCCAUUUCAACACUGACCAGAGAGAAGGUAUGCCUUUCUACCUGGAAUGGUUUCUGGGUAUCUGGACAAUUUUAGAGUUUUCCUGGAUUCUGCGUAAAAAGAUACAAGAAGAGUUACCCAAUAAAUUUAAUAUUAUUUUUUUUUACUCUUAAUUCCUAUGCAAUAACAGUCAUUAUGUAUGUGAGUUAUUACCUUUUUGUGCUGUGUCUUACGAUAUCUUCUGUAAGAAUAAUUGCUGAAGAUGAAUUCUUCUCCACCUAUGAAAGAAUAAAUGUAGCCUUACAAAAACAGAUAUACUUGCUGGUUUGAGAGCUGGAAGGAUAAGGACCUUAUCAUGAUCUGGUUUUUUUUCUGAAGAUGCCAAUGAAGACAAGAAGUAUGUAUUGUCAGUGUGAAAAAGUGCAAAAUAACUACAACACGUGAUGUAUUUUAUGGCACAAAUGAUCUUAAAGAGGUACCUAAAUAACAGUUGUUGGUUUUGUUGCCCUGAAGUGUAUAUUGACCAAAGCUUUUCUCAGUAAGAUUGUUUUUGUUGUGAAGCUGAAAUCAUAGAUUAAUUAAUUUUGUUUGUUUGUUUGUUUUUAAGCUAUGGAAGAACUGGAUGGUGAUGUAGUGAGGAUUUCUUCAAGAGGGAAGUUUGCAGAGAGAGACAUUGUGCAGUUUGUGCCAUUCCGAGAUUACAUCG